UGCUGUGAGGGAAACAUAAAGGAAUUU
rnacentral:piRNA from 1 species